rnacentral:rRNA from 1 species
AUGUGGCGGCUGCCCGGGCUGCUCUCCCAGGCCGCCGCGGCCGGGAGGGCGGCGGCGAGGACCAGCAGCAGCCACGUCAGCGGUUCCAAGGGCUUCUCCAGCGGAGGGGGCGGGUCCCCGCUGCCCCGAGGGUGGCUGCGGAGGCUGUGGAUCGAGGAGCUGAAAAGGGAGAAGGAAGCUGCGAGGAGACUGGGGGGAGGCGUCUGCAAGGCCGAAGGUGUUGGCGAGGAUCCGCUCGGCUAUUUGGCCAACGCCGCGCGCGCGUUCGUGAAUUCCGGGUCCGCCGCGGCGGGGAUUGACAAGGUGAGGCCUGGGGGAGCGGCCCGCGGCGAGGUGGCCCCGUCUAAAGGCGGCCAGUAUGACCCCAAGGACCUCCCAUACCUAGAGGCCAAACUGGAGCCUCUCCUCUCAAGAGCCAACCUCCUUAUAGCCAGAGAUGUGGAAUGGGCAAAUAUCAUGUUUGCUUUCGAGCAGGAGAGUAGAUAUAUCAUAAUGGAUCCACUCUUUUCCCAGUCUCCUGUAGGAUAUAUUCGAGAGAAAAGCAAUGUCAUCUUUAGGCAGUUACUUCGGUCGAGACGGCCAUUUACUGCACAAUUUACUGAUGCUAUGGGUAAUGAGAUAUUCACGGUCCGCCGGCCAUUUUGGUUCAUCAACAGCUCUAUUUAUGCAGAAGUGGAUGGCAAGGAGGUAGGUGUAGUCCACAGGCGCUGGCAUCUUUGGCGUAGAAUUUAUGAUCUGUACUUAGGGAACAAGCAAUUUGCUGUGGUUGAGAAUCCUGGAUUUUGGAACUGGACCUUUACCCUUAUUGAUGAAGAUGAAAAUGUGUUGGCCCAGAUUGACCGUAAUUGGAGGGGAAUUGGUUUUGAGCUCUUUACGGAUGCUGGCCAGUAUGCAAUUCGGUUUGGUGAUGAUGGACAAAGCAGUAGACUUGGUCUCGGUUCAGAUAUCGAAGAACUAAACGUUGUUCGCCCGCUGAGUUUACCUGAAAGGGCUGUAGCUCUUGCUCUGGCAGUGUCCCUGGACUCAGAUUACUUCUCUAGGAGAGGGGGCUGGGGACUGCCUUUUCUCAUCGCCACAGAGUAG